AUGGAGUUCUUUCUUGGCUGGGUUUUCCUUGUUGCUGUUUUAAAAGGUGUCCAGUGUGAGGUGCAGCUGGUGGAGUCUGGGGGAGGCCUGGCAAAGCCUGGGGGCUCCCUGCGACUCUCCUGCGCAGCCUCAGGAUUCAGCUUUGGAGGCUACUACAUGAAAUGGGUCCGCCAGGCUCCAGAGAAGGGGCUGGAGUGGGUCUCAUAUAUUAGUAGUAGUGGAAGGAACACAGGCUACGCAGACUCCGUGAAGGGCCAAUUCACCAUCUCCAGAGACAACGCCAAGAACACGCUCUAUCUGCAGAUGGACAGCCUGAGAGUCGAGGACACGGCCAUGUAUUUCUGUUCCCAGAAGGGGCUCCUUGGUGGCUCAGUCGGUUAA